GACAGGUCUGUUCCCACAGGGGCUAGAGCAGCAGAAACACAAGCAUGGGGCAGGUCCCUGCUAGCCUGACUCACACACACCGCAGCGUCACUGCCCAUGGCGACGGCGUUCCAGACUCACGCACACUCACCACACGCGUCACUGUGCCCAUGGCGACGGCCUUACUGACUCACACUCACCGCACAUGUCAUUGUGCCCGUGGCGACGGCCCUCCUGACUCACACUCACCGCACGUCACUGUGCCCGUGGCGACGGCCCUCCUGACUCACACACGCUCCCCGCACGCGUCGCUCUGCCCGUGGCGACGGCCUUCCUGACUCACACACACAACCCGCACGCGUCGCUCUGCCCACGGCAACAGUGUUCCUGCCUAUCAUCACAACAGGCGACUCAAGAACGUGACGUCAUGUGGACCCCGUGACCAAAACCAGGCCCAUACUACGCCCGUGAUGUUUCCUCUUUCAGGGUGCUGAGACCUGAGACCACACCUGACCUGCCCGGGGCGGCACAGUGAGGGUGACCUGUACCUCUGCUUUACCUGUGUGUCCUCUCUGAUGAGGAAAAGAGGCAGACCACAGAUGCAAACAGGCUGGGAUGCACUCCUCACAGGCUCUCCUGUGCCCAGCGUGCCUGGUCCCACCUCACCUCACCAGAGGGAUGUGCGGAUGCCAGGUGACUUGGGCACAGCUCCUCAGAGAUUUUCACUGCUGGGGCCAUCUUCAUUCAGCUGGAAAAUGUGAAGUGCAACAGUGCAUGCACUCAAAUCGAUGGGCUAAAAUGAGGGAAAAGCCAAUAUCGACACACAUUUCCAACUCUCACUUAACUGCAACCAUACAAAUUAGAUGUUAAGGUCUACAAAUAAAAACUGAAUGUACAGUAUAAUCAAAGCUAGUUCUCAGAUUAGAUGAGAAGGCUAUUAUUUUAUUUCAGAUUGAGGAUUGGCUCUUUUGAAAGCUAAUACCCAUCCCUUGCUCUUUGGGCCCUACAUUUACUUACAGAAUGAAAAAGUGCCCUAAAUCCAGCCUCCGGGACGUUAUUAUAUAAAUACACUCACACAGAUGGGACCAAAAACUGAGUUUUAUCAUAUAAGGUUUUUUGUUUUUUUUUAAUUAACUUAUUUUUUGCAACGGGAUCUUGCUUUGUCGCCCAGGCUAGAGUGCAGCAGCACGAUCACAGCUCACAGCAACAUUAAAUUCCUGGACUCAAGUGAUCCUCCCACCUCCAGCCUUCUGAGUAGCUGACACUACAAGUGUGCGCCACCGCACUGGCUAAUUUUUUAAAACUCUUUUUAGAGACGGGGUCUUGCUAUGAUCCCCGGGCCAUUCUCCAAUUCCUGGCCUCAAGUGAUCCUUCCAUCCUUCUCCCACAGUGCUGGGACUACAGGCAUGAGCCACCUUGCCCAGUCGGUUUCCUAACUGUGUCUUUUUACAUUUGUUAUUAACUCAGAGAAAUGUUUACAUUGGUAGAUAGAAAUCUAUUUCAUUCUUCUUAAUGGCUAUAUUGUACAUAGUGUAGAUAUAUGGAAUUCCUACAUUUAUUAACUGACCUCUGGUGGACAGUUAAAAUAUUUCAAAUUGUUGGCUAUUAUUAACAGCAUCUAACAAACAUCUGUUCAGAAAGAUCUACAAAAUUGCAUGAUUAUCAGCUACGAUAAAUUCCUACAAGUGAAUCUGCAGUCAGAGAACAUUAGAACUUUCCCUGGGCAGCCCGUGCCCUC
rnacentral:lncRNA from 1 species